rnacentral:snRNA from 1 species
GUGCUGCCAUGGCAGCACAAUAGUAAAAUAGGAAUGAAAGGAGAAGACUAGCAUGGCCCCUGGGCAAAAAUGACAUUCAAGUUUAUAAAGCAUUCAUACUGUUA